UAUAUAUAACCAUGCUGGCUUCUAAAGCUUUCAGCCCUGAGCUUUUGUCUUCAUGUGUUCGGGUCUCCAUUUCUGGAAAUGUAAAAUAAAGAUUAUUUUUUGAGCUUUGACCACUCUGAGUCCAGUCUUUUUCUGCCGUCAAAAGAAUUCAAAAGAACGGAAUUUAAUAAUAGCCUCCACAGUCACCUAACCCAGUCAAGAUGGUUUAGGAUGAGAUGGACCGCAGAGUGAAGGCAAAAGGGCCAACAAGUGCUCAGCAUCUCUGGGAACUUCUUCAAGACUGUGGGAAAACCAUUUCAGUAAAUCCAGCUUCUUGUCUAAUGAUGGCAACAGCAGUUUUGGCCAGAAGCAGAGGGGUGGCUGUUUUCAGCACCACCAAAGUCCUGUUCCUCAUGUUCACCCUGCUGUGUCUCAUUUGGCUUUCAACUUCACUGACAAACAAGAACCAACUGGUGCAGGAAGUGUUCAAUGAAUGUUAUGAGAAAGCACAAGAAGAAAUGGAUAACCUGAUGGAGGAAAAGUCAGACCUGCUGAAAGUUUCAGAGCUGGUAGAUGAGUAUCUGGCCAUCAUGGACCCAAUGAUAGCAGUGAUCAAGAAAACUAAUGCAUUUGUUGGUGAAAUUGUUCCUGACACAGAUUUGGAGGACCUUAAGGUUUUAUUAGAAGAAGUCAAAGAUGAACUAGACAUCAUAAAUGAAGAACUUGAUGAAGAAAUUACAUACAAGGAAAAGCAACUGAGGAAAAUGAAGACAUUGAUCGAAUACAUUGAGGAGCAGUACACUGAAUUGUAAUUUUUAUGUCAACCAAUAAAAGUUAUGAUUCAUAUGUGCUGCACACCUUUAGUUUUUACUAGAACUUCCUUUGAAACUAUGACAUUUUUUUGCCUGUUUGACAACUUCUAUGGAACCUUGAUACAAUUUAAAUGUAACUAUCAUAACAUUUGAAAAAUAUGUCAAUGUAUGCCUCUUUAAACUAACACAAAAUAGAAACAUUUUCUUUCGGUUAUUGUUCUAUUAGUUAUGUCAACAAUAGACAAAACUACAUUUUGACUGCACC
ensembl:lncRNA